rnacentral:lncRNA from 1 species
CUGGAAUUAAGUGUUUAGGAAUGUAAAUCUUCAAAAAUAUUGUAGCUAAGUUUAUUUGGAUUGGAGAUAGGUAUCAAGAAAUUAAGUAAAGAAAAUUGAACUCUAAUCUGAAAACACUGCCAAGCCUCGAUAGGAGGUCGUGUUGCAACAUUGGGCCUGUCUUCUGUACACAGAAAGUCCUCAGAGGAGUGGAGGUAGCUGGAGACCCCUGGAGGAAUCUUGCAGGGCUGGGGACGUAAGACAGUCCCAUGGAACAAAUAAGAUGGAAACAGCUGCAACAUAUAUUUUUUCCUUUUAGAGAUCCAACCUUAUUCCAUUUAUAAUAAACUGAGAAGUUCUAUAUCAAAUAUAACUGCCUGUAACAUUUUAAAUUGCUUCAAUCUGAGUUUAACACCCACCUUUCCUUUCAUCUCUUAGCAAAUAAUCUUAAAGCUGUAUCUAAAAUGCAGUAAGAAAAAUUACAAUAAAAAUGGGUUUUGGAGUUUUUUCAGAUUUAUUUAAUAUUUCUACAGAGAAUGGAUAAAUCACAAUUUACAAUUCCAGCAUGAAACAAUAUCUUGAAGUCACACUUAUGAGGAAACAAGUUAAAUAUACUGAACCCCCAGAGACUCUAUACCAUUUUGAAAUAGGCAUGAGACUCAUCCAUUGUGAUUCUUCAGAUUUGGCAGAAAUGUAGCAAAAGGGAAUUUAUUUCGUACUGAAGGCUAGAGAUAAUUUGUUUCAACACCAGGGAAAGGGUCCUCAGGAAUGAACGCACUCUGAUACUCUUGCUAGAAUAAGAUGGUAUUCACCUAAUUAGACAUAGUUAUCAACUGAAAAUCAGUAGCCAUCUAUUUGUACAUGUCCUCUACCUAUUACCUAGCACACUCUUUACCCUCCUUUUUCUCUGUGCCUGGCCUUACAAAGGGUACUUCCCCAAGGAGGAUUCCCUACCCCGACUGCCUAGGUAGUUACAAGGUAGUACAGUGCCCAGUGACACAGACACUCAAAAAGUAUUUGUCAUAUGAAUGCAAUAAUGGAAGUCUGUUUUUAAAUUUUCUUUUUCAGUUUUCCAAUUUAAUAGGACAAUUGUCCUACUCUUCUCUGACAAAUAGGUUGUUUUUAUGAUGCUCCACAGUGAGAUUUAAUAUCAUUUCAGAUUAUAUCAACAAAAAGUUAAGCAAACGACCACGUUGAGUUCCAACAGCAUAUUCCAUAUUACUAGGGUUGGAAAUUUAGAGUCUAGUGGUAUUAAACCCAAGUUUUAUAAUUCAAAGAAACAUGCUCAUCUUCAGUCUUUUCCCUUUAAAACUUUUGGUUCUUACCUCCUCUUGAAAGUAGGUAUUAAAAUUAAAAUUCUAAUUCAAAAAUUCUCACAUCUUAGUUUUAUGACACUCCAAUCAAUGUCUUCAUUUAUCCCAAGAUUGAAGAAUUGCUUGUCCUUUUCUUUUCUUUUCUUUUCUUUUCUUUUCUUUUGACAUAGAGUCUCGCCGUGUCGCCCAGGCUGGAGUGCAGUGGUGUGAUCUCAGCUCACUGCAAUCUCCGCCUCCUGGGUUCAAGUGAUUCUCCUGCCUCAGCCUCCCGAGUAGUUGGGAUUACAGGUGUCCACCACCAUGCCCGGCUAAUUUUUGUAUUUUUAGUAGAGAUGGGGUUUCACCAUGUUGGCCAGGCUGGUCUUGAACUCUUCACCACAGGUGAUCCACCCACCUCAGCCUCCCAAAGUUCUGGGAUUACAGGUGUGUGCCACUGCGCCCAGCCUGAAUUGCUUGUCCUUUUAAAUUAACUUUUUAUUAUAAAAGACAAACUCAUUGUGGAAAAUCUGUAAAUGACAGAAAAAGAGAGAAGAUAAAAAUUAUCCACGUAUGAAAUUGUUAAUAGUGUAUUUGCUUUCAAUCCUUUCUCUAUGUACACAACUUUGAAAUUAUUCUGAAUAUAGUUAUGUAUCCUGUUUUUUCACUAGAAAAUGAAUCUUAAGCACUUUUUAAAAUUUAAAAAAGUAAUACCUGUUCAUAAAAAUGUUUUUUAUGUCCCACUCCAAUCUCAAACCUUAGCAGUAACAACUUGAACUGCAAGAUGUAUAUUCUUUUCUUUUCUUUUUCAGACAGGGUCUUCCUCUGUUGUUCAGGGUGGAGUGCAGUGGCAUCAUCUUGGCUCACUGCAACCUCCACCUCCUCCCACCUCAAGUGAUCCUCCCACCCCAGCCUCCCAAAUAGUUGGGACUACAGGUGCGUGCCACCACGCCCGGCUGAUUUUUGUAUGUCUUUGUCUUAGAGGCCGGGUUUCACCAUGUUGGCCAGGCUGGUCUCGAACUCCCGGGCUCAAGCAAUCCUCCUGCCUUGGCCUCCCAAAGUUCUGGGAUGACAGGCGUGAGCCACCACGCUCAGCCCAAGAUGUAUAUUUUUACAUUUUUCUCUAUCUAUCAUAAGCAUUUUACUGUAUUAAAUAUCCUGCCAAAAAUGCCUCCAAAGACUGUAUUAUUAGGCUGUAUUUCUAGAAGUGGAAUAAAUAGGUCAAAGGACAUGGCUAUUUUCCAGACUCUUUUUUUUUUUUUUUUUUUUUUUGAGACAAAGCGUUGCUAUAUUGACCAGGCUGGUAACUUCUGGCCGCAAGCAAACAAUCCACCCACCACCUCCUCCCAAAGUGCUAGACCUGCAGGCAUGGGUCACCAUGCCCAGACAUAUUUUUCCAGACUCAUUUAACAUCUUCGGCUAUAGUACCCCCCACAUAGCUAGGCCUACUUCACACUCCCAUCGGCAGCAUAUUGGAAUGCCUAUCUCACAAACCUGGAGAUGUCAAGUAGGCAACUGGACAUUUGAGUCUGGGAUUCAAGGUAGAGAAUCAAGGUUUCAAUAAAUGUUUUUUUUUUUUUGGAAAGCCAUGGGACUGAAUCACUCAGUGAAUGAAUAUAGACAAAGAAAAGACAUAGUCCUGGGAUAUGCCAAUGUUUGGAGGUAAUGGAAAUGAGGAGAAACCUACAAAAAGAGACUGAAGGCCGGGCAUGGUGGCUCACACCUGUAAUCUGAGCACUUUGGGAGGCCGAGGCAGAUAGAUCACUUGAGGCCAGGAGUUCGAGACCAGCCUGGCCAACAUGGUGAAACCCCGUCUCUACUAAAAAUACAAAAAUUAAGUGAUGCACACCUGUAGUCCCAGCUACCAGGGAGGCUAAGGUGGAAGAAUCGCUUGAACUCGGGAGGCGGAGGUUGCAGUG